GUGUGAAUGGCCAACGACCAUUGGAGACCGCUGUAACUGACAAACGGCUAACUUUAGGCUGAAGUUAUCCCUUCCAUGAUCCUCUUCUAUUUAAAUCCCCCUCCUCUUCUAUGAUCGAUCGACCAUCAUCGAGCUUUCCCCUCCCUUCUUCCUCCUCUCCAAUAGCUGACGAGCCACCAUAUCCAAGCACAACCCCCCCUCCUCUCUCUAAUUCCAUUGGUGCUCUGUUGUUGAAUCCAAUAGUGUGCCAUUAAAUCAUCAAAAUUUGUUGCUAUCGACCAAGAUUCAAUGUCUCCACUGCUCAUUGAUAUUGCUAAUAUCGAUGUAACAAAUCUCAAUUCUGAUCUAAUCCAGAUCAAUUCUCUCUCUAUCAAUUGAUUUACUCAGAUGAAAAUAUGAAUCUGGAUAGCAAGGAGGCAUGAUGGCAACCGAAUCCUCUAUAUAUAGGAACAGCCACUAUAUAGUGGCUAUGUUGGUAGUUGAGGAGGGUUCAGGGCAGAGAUGAUGAUGGGAAGAAGGCUAGUAGGUCCAUGGUUCCAUAGAUCCCAUAAGGUUGGAAGAGAUGAGAUGUAAAUUGAGAUUCGAGACUCGGCUUCAUGAGGAGCAAGCAAAGACAUACAUACAAACAUACACUCAUACAUCCAUAUAUGGGAUGAUUUGGUUUAAAUUGAUUUUUUAAAUUUUAACAAAAACUAAAUUCAUUUUUUGGUUUGAAAAAUUUACAAACCAAAAUCAGAUCAAAUAUGAAAGCUCGGCUUCAACCAAAUGGAAAUAACUGAUUUUGUGGUUUGAUCUUUUUUUUUUUGAAAUAUUCAGUGAGAAUCUAUUAUUCUCGUAAAUGCCAAGAGCUUUAAGUAUAAUUUAUUCUAAGGAUCCAUUUGAUUGGUGUAUAUCAAAUUAUAAGAUAAUUUGACGAUUCAUGGGAAUCAUUUAUGUAGAAAAAUGAUUAUAAAAAAAAUAAUUUUUACCAUAUUUGGUUGGUAGAAAAAUUAUUCGAAAAAAUAACACUGAAAAAAGAUUAC